GGGGGCUUAGCUCAUCUGGUAGAGCGCCUGCCUUGCAAGCAGGAGGUGGCGGGUUCAAGCCCCGCAGCUUCCA
rnacentral:tRNA from 12 species